AUGCAGCUGACGAGUUCCAAAUUAGACGAAACACGCGUCAAACUGGAU
rfam:Schistosoma margrebowiei strain Zambia genome assembly, scaffold: SMRZ_scaffold0000866